rnacentral:tRNA from 1 species
GUCCAGAGAUGGGAAUCGAACCCACAGUGUUCCGCUUACCGGGCAGAUGUCAUGUCCACUAGGCUACCCUGGA